rnacentral:siRNA from 1 species
UACAAACACAAAGACUCAUAUGGA